GACGAACGCUGGCGGCGUGCCUAACACAUGCAAGUCGAACGGAAAGGCCCUGCUUUUGUGGGGUGCUCGAGUGGCGAACGGGUGAGUAUCACGUGAGUAACCUGCCCUUGACUUUGGGAUAACAUCAGGAAACUGGGGCUAAUAUCGGACAGGAGCUCCUGCUGCAUGGUGGGGGUUGGAAAGUUUCGGCGGUUGGGGAUGGACUCGCGGCUUAUCAGUUUGUUGGUGGGGUAGUGGCUUACCAAGGCGUUGACGGGUAGCUGGCCUGAGAGGGUGACCGGCCACAUUGUGACUGAGGUACGGCCCAGACGCCUACGGGGGGCAGCGGUGGGGAAUAUUGCACAAUGGGCGGAAGCCGGAUGCAGCAACGCCGCGUGCGGAAUGACGGCCUUCGGGUUGUAAACCGCUUUCGCCUGUGACGAAGCGUGAGUGACGGUAAUGGAUAAAGAAGCACCGGCUAACUACGUG
rnacentral:rRNA from 1 species